AUACGUAGGUGGCAAGCGUUAUCCGGAAUCAUUGGGCGUAAAGGGUGCGUAGGCGGCUUCUUAAGUUUGUAGUGAAAUCGUAGGGCUCAACUCUAUCUAGCUACAAAAACUGGGAGGCUGGAGUGCGGUAGAGGCUAGUGGAAUUCCUAGUGUAGCGGUAAAAUGCGUAGAUAUUAGGAGGAACACCGGUGGCGAAGGCGACUAGCUGGGCCGUAACUGACGCUGAGGCACGAAAGCGUGGGGAGCAAAUAGGAUUAGAUACCCUAGUAGUCCACGCCGUAAACGAUGAAUACUAAGUGUUGGAGAAAUUCAGUGCUGCAGUUAACGCAAUAAGUAUUCCGCCUGGGGAGUAUGCACGCAAGUGUGAAACUCAAAUGAAUUGGCGGGG
rnacentral:rRNA from 1 species